UCGCCUCUUGAAUAAACAUAAGAGGUCCAGCCUGCCCAGUGACUAAUGUUCAACGGCCGCGGUAUCCUAACCGUGCGAAGGUAGCGUAAUCACUUGUUCUUUAAAUGGGGACUAGUAUGAAUGGCACCACGAGGGUUUUACUGUCUCCUUUCUCUGAUCAGUGAAACUAAUCUCCCCGUGAAGAAGCGGGGAUACAACUAUAAGACGAGAAGACCCUAUGGAGCUUUAAAUCUCUUUUCAAACGCUAAAUCACUUAUUCAAGUCUAAGACUUACCCCACAUUUACCUAAGCGCCAUGAAAAUGAUUUUAGGUUGGGGUGACCGCGGAGCACAAAAAAACCUCCACGCUGAACUAGACGUCCAAACCUUGAGCUAAGAGCUACAACUCAACGCACUAAAAAAUUAACACCAAUUGACCCAAUAUUUAUUUGAUCAACGAACCAA
rnacentral:rRNA from 1 species